rnacentral:rRNA from 1 species
GACAGAGGGUGCAAACGUUGUUCGGAUUUACUGGGCGUAAAGCGCACGUAGGCGGAUCGUUAAGUCAGGGGUGAAAUCCUGGAGCUCAACUCCAGAACUGCCUUUGAUACUGGCGAUCUUGAGUCCGGAAGAGGUGAGUGGAACUCCUAGUGUAGAGGUGGAAUUCGUAGAUAUUAGGAAGAACACCAGUGGCGAAGGCGGCUCACUGGUCCGGUACUGACGCUGAGGUGCGAAAGCGUGGGGAGCAAACAGGG